UACGUAGGGUGCAAGCGUUGUCCGGAAUUAUUGGGCGUAAAGAGCGUGUAGGCGGCCUGGUAAGUCCGCUGUGAAAGUCCAGGGCUCAACCCUGGAAUGCCGGUGGAAACUGUCAGGCUCGAGUCCGGAAGAGGCGAGUGGAAUUCCUGGUGUAGCGGUGAAAUGCGCAGAUAUCAGGAGGAACACCAAUGGCGAAGGCAGCUCGCUGGGACGGUACUGACGCUGAGACGCGAAAACGUGGGGGAGCAAAACAGG
rnacentral:rRNA from 1 species